CCUACGGGGGACUGCAGUGAGGAAUAUUGGUCAAUGGGCGCGAGCCUGACCCAGCCACGUAGCGUGAAGGAUGACUGCCCUACGGGUUGUAAACUUCUUUUAUAAAGGAAUAAAGUGAGGCUCGUGUGCCUUUUUGCAUGUACUUUAUGCAUAAGGAUCGGCUAACUCCGUGCCAGCAGCCGCGGUAAUACGGAGGAUCCGAGCGUUAUCCGGAUUUAUUGGGUUUAAAGGGAGCGUAGAUGGGUUGUUAAGUCAGUUGUGAAAGUUUGCGGCUCAACCGUAAAAGUGCAAUUGAUACUGGCAGUCGUGAGUACAGUUGAGGUAGGCGGAAUUCGUGGUGUAGCGGUGAAAUGCUUAGAUAUCACGAAGAACCCCGAUUGCGAAGGCAGCUUACUAAACUGUGACUGACAUUGAUGCUCGAAAGUGUGGGUAUCAAACAGGAUUAGAUACCCUAGUAGUC
rnacentral:rRNA from 1 species